UAGCGGAGGGUGCAAGCGUUUAAUCCGGAUUCAACUGGGUUUAAAGGGUGUGUAGGCGGAUAUUUAAGUCAGUGGUGAAAAUCUCCGGGCUCAACCCGGAAACUGCCAUUGAUACUAUUUAUCUUGAAUAUGGUUGAGGUUGGCGGAAUAUAUCAUGUACGGUGAAAUGCAUAGAUAUGAUAUAGAACACCGAUUGCGAAGGCAGCUAACUAAGCGAUUAAUUGACGCUGGAGGCAACGAAAAGCGUGGGGGAGCAAAACAGG
rnacentral:rRNA from 1 species